CAGAGGCACAUUAAAGGGGCGCUAAAGUCACCCAAAGCACUUCAUCUCAAGUUUGUUUUUGAAGUAAAACUCGGUUGUGCGGCAAAAUGCUGCGCUCCGACCAAACGCUGCUCUCCGCAGAUUCUCAGAAUUAUACUCGGUCAGGAGGAGGAAGAAAGACAGGAACUAGAGGUGGAUUUAACCCUUUCAUGUAAACACUGCAGGAUGACAAUGACAUAACCACCCAGGACUUUUCACUGAAAUGAAGUGGUCUGGGUGACUAUAGCGUCCCUUUAUACUCUCACAUAUUCCACUAUAACAAAUGCCUGUUUCUGGUAUUUAUUAAUUUCAGUAAAGGCUCAGUCUCCUUUGUUUUGGAACAUUGUUUCCAGUUACCUGACACAUGUGCUCUCUGAAAAGAGGGAUAUUGAGAUGGGGGUCAGAGAGUGACCAAGAGAUAAUAUUGAUAUAUGGAAGUGGUAGCUUGGGAUGGAUGCGAGUUACAAGAUGGAGACAAACAUGGGUGGGAAGGAAGGGUAAAGGGUAUUUAAUUGCAAUACAUUUGUUACAAUGUUUUGACCCUAAGGCUGCUCACUGGAUUUUGAUAAGGACAAUGAUUGAGAUACAAAUUUGGAUUUAAAAACAUCCCCAUAAUUGUGAGAAGUACAUGAUGAGGAUGGGCAGUGACUUGUGUAACAGUAGAAUAUACAACAAAAGUCAAAAUGCCUAGAGUUGUUCCAUUCUGCCACUAAACUGAACACAAUAAAGAUGGGAACUAAUGGGAUAUUAGUGUGGAUUGCACCAAAUAAAUACCCUUACAAUUCCUCCAGCUCAGCUUCAUAAAUAUGGUGCAAAAAGCUUAAAUAAAAACUGCAGAUUUAAGUUGCAUUCGAAAAAUGCUGACAUUCAAGAAAUCUUCAGUCUAGAAUCCCAUACCUCCCCCAUGUUCACUCUCUCCCAGCCCUCUAUAUACCCGCUCCAUGUCCUCCCAACUAACCUGUCUUUCCCCACCUCUUCAAAACACCAGCUGAAAUGGAGGGGAUAGCCUAUUAUGCUUAUUGUGCUAAAAUGCAGCAUGUUUCAAAUGCAAUCUAAUUACUGUUACGCAUGGCCUAGCUAUCUGCAUUAACAGAAGGUCGACGUAUUCAAAG